AGUGAACGCUGGCGGUAGGCCUAACACAUGCAAGUCGAACGGCAGCACAGUAAGAGCUUGCUCUUACGGGUGGCGAGUGGCGGACGGGUGAGGUAUACAUCGGAAUCUACUUUUUCGUGGGGGAUAACGUAGGGAAACUUACGCUAAUACCGCAUACGACCUACGGGUGAAAGCAGGGGAUCUUCGGACCUUGCGCGAUUGAAUGAGCCGAUGUCGGAUUAGCUAGUUGGCGGGGUAAAGGCCCACCAAGGCGACGAUCCGUAGCUGGUCUGAGAGGAUGAUCAGCCACACUGGAACUGAGACACGGUCCAGACUCCUACGGGAGGCAGCAGUGGGGAAUAUUGGACAAUGGGUGCAAGCCUGAUCCAGCCAUACCGCGUGGGUGAAGAAGGCCUUCGGGUUGUAAAGCCCUUUUGUUGGGAAAGAAAAGCAGCAGGUUAAUACCCCGCUGUUCUGACGGUACCCAAAGAAUAAGCACCGGCUAACUUCGUG
rnacentral:rRNA from 1 species